AACGCUGGCGGCAGGCUAACACAUGCAAGUCGAACGGAUCCUUCGGGAUUAGUGGCGGACGGGGAGUAACACGUGGGAACGUGCCCUUUGGUUCGGAACAACUCAGGGAAACUUGAGCUAAUACCGGAUGUGCCCUUCGGGGGAAAGAUUUAUCGCCAUUGGAGCGGCCCGCGUCUGAUUAGCUAGUUGGUGGGGUAAAGGCCCACCAAGGCGACGAUCAGUAGCUGGUCUGAGAGGAUGAUCAGCCACAUUGGGACUGAGACACGGCCCAAACUCCUACGGGAGGCAGCAGUGGGGAAUCUUGCGCAAUGGGCGAAAGCCUGACGCAGCCAUGCCGCGUGAAUGAUGAAGGUCUUAGGAUUGUAAAAUUCUUUCACCGGGGACGAUAAUGACGGUACCCGGAGAAGAAGCCCCGUGCUAACUUCGUGCCAGCAGCCGCGGUAAUACGAAGGGGGCUAGCGUUGCUCGGAAUUACUGGGCGUAAAGGGAGCGUAGGCGGACUGUUAAGUUAGAGGUGAAAGCCCAGGGCCUCAACCUUGGAAUUGCCUUUGAUACUGGCAGUCUUGAGUACGGAAGAGGUAUGUGGAACUCCGAGUG
rnacentral:rRNA from 1 species